GCCCGGGUGGCGGAAUUGGCAGACGCGCUAGGUUCAGGUCCUAGUAUUAGCAAUAAUGUGCAGGUUCGAGUCCUGUCCCGGGCACCA
rnacentral:tRNA from 1 species